rnacentral:rRNA from 1 species
UACGAAGGGGGCUAGCGUUGUUCGGAAUUACUGGGCGUAAAGCGCACGUAGGCGGAUACUUAAGUUAGGGGUGAAAUCCCAGGGCUCAACCCUGGAACUGCCUUUAAUACUGGGUAUCUUGAGUUCGAGAGAGGUGAGUGGAAUUCCGAGUGUAGAGGUGAAAUUCGUAGAUAUUCGGAGGAACACCAGUGGCGAAGGCGGCUCACUGGCUCGAUACUGACGCUGAGGAGCGAAAGCAUGGGGAGCGAACAGG